GACGAACGCUGGCGGCGUGCUUAACACAUGCAAGUCGGACGGUAAGGCCCUUCGGGGUACACGAGUGGCGAACGGGUGAGUAACACGUGGGUGAUCUGCCCUGCACUUCGGGAUAAGCCUGGGAAACUGGGUCUAAUACCGGAUAGGACCACUGCCUGCAUGGGUGGUGGUGGAAAGCUUUUGCGGUGUGGGAUGGGCCCGCGGCCUAUCAGCUUGUUGGUGGGGUGAUGGCCUACCAAGGCGACGACGGGUAGCCGGCCUGAGAGGGUGACCGGGCAAACUGGGACUGGGAUACGGCCCAGAGUCCUACGGGAGGCAGCAGUGGGGAAUAUUGCACAAUGGGCGCAAGCCUGAUGCAGCGGCGCCGCGUGAGGGAUGACGGCCUUCGGGUUGUAAACCUCUUUCAGCACCGACGAAGCGCAAGUGACGGUAGGUGCAGAAGAAGGACCGGCCAACUACGUGCCAGCCGCCGCAGUAACAC
rnacentral:rRNA from 1 species